AUCCAGCUGACGAGUCCCAAAUAGGACGAAGAGGUGCGCGUCCUGGAC
rnacentral:hammerhead_ribozyme from 1 species